GGUCGGAGGUCCCCGGGGAGAGCUUCGAGGGUCCCAGCCACAGCUGGGUGUCAGACUGGGUGUCAGCUGGUGGCCGGCUAGGCGUCAGGCUCCCAGCUCCGUGUGGCUCCGGCUCACACAGUGUCGCCAGCCUUUCGUGCCGUGCCGUGGGACGCGGCCCGGGUAUGACAGGGAACAGUGAGGACCAGAGUCCAAGAGCGGGUUCCAGCCUCCCGGCCUUCACAAGGACGACUCUUGGCAGCCCGUCGGUGUCGGUUGCUGUGUAG
rnacentral:lncRNA from 1 species